rnacentral:rRNA from 1 species
UACGAAGGGUGCAAGCGUUAAUCGGAAUUACUGGGCGUAAAGCGUGCGUAGGCGGUGACUUAAGUCUGUUGUGAAAUCCCCGGGCUCAACCUGGGAAUGGCAAUGGAUACUGGGUCGCUAGAGUGUGAUAGAGGAUGGUGGAAUUCCCGGUGUUGCGGUGAAAUGCGUAGAGAUCGGGAGGAACAUCAGUGGCGAAGGCGGCCAUCUGGAUCAACACUGACGCUGAGGCACGAAAGCGUGGGGAGCAAACAGG